rnacentral:rRNA from 1 species
AGUGAACGCUAGCUACAGGCUUAACACAUGCAAGUCGAGGGGAAACGAUAGAGAAAGCUUGCUUUUUCUAGGCGUCGACCGGCGCACGGGUGAGUAACGCGUAUCCAACCUGCCCAUCACUUGGGGAUAACCUUGCGAAAGUAAGACUAAUACCCAAUGACGUCUCUAGAAGACAUCUGAAAGAGAUUAAAGAUUUAUCGGUGAUGGAUGGGGAUGCGUCUGAUUAGCUUGUUGGCGGGGUAACGGCCCACCAAGGCGACGAUCAGUAGGGGUUCUGAGAGGAAGGUCCCCCACAUUGGAACUGAGACACGGUCCAAACUCCUACGGGAGGCAGCAGUGAGGAAUAUUGGUCAAUGGACGAGAGUCUGAACCAGCCAAGUAGCGUGCAGGAUGACGGCCCUAUGGGUUGUAAACUGCUUUUAUAAGGGAAUAAAGUGAGAAUCGUGACUCUUUUUGCAUGUACCUUAUGAAUAAGGACCGGCUAAUUCCGUGCCAGCCGCCGCGGUAA